rnacentral:rRNA from 1 species
CACGGAGUUAGCCGGAGCUUAUUCUCCCGGUACUGUCAUUAUCAUCCCGGGUAAAAGAGCUUUACAACCCUAAGGCCUUCAUCACUCACGCGGCAUUGCUGGAUCAGGCUUUCGCCCAUUGUCCAAUGUUCCCUACUGCUGCCUCCCGUAGGAGUCUGGGCCGUGUCUCAGUCCCAGUGUGGCUGAUCAUCCUCUCAGACCAGCUAAGGAUCGUCGGCUUGGUGAGCCUUUACCUCACCAACUACCUAAUCCUACGCGGGCUCAUCCCUGGGCGAUAAAUCUUUGGACUUACGUCAUUAUCCGGUAUUAGCUUCAGUUUCCCGAAGUUAUUCCGAACCCAAGGGCAGAUUCCCACGCGUUACGCACCCGUGCGCCACUAGACCCGAAGGUCUCGUUCGACUUGCAUGUAUUAGGCAUGCCGCCAGCGUUCGUUCUGAGCCAGGAUCAAACUCU